rnacentral:rRNA from 1 species
AUUGAACGCUGGCGGCAGGCCUAACACAUGCAAGUCGAACGAGUGGGGGGCGGGUGAAUAAUGUCUGGGAAACUGCGUGAUGGAGGGAGAUCACUACUGAACACUGUCUAUAAUACCGUAUACUAUCAUGUGUGCACAGAUGGGAUUCGCUUGUUGGUGGGGUAACGGCACACCAAGGCGACGAUCCCUAGCUGGUCUGAGAGGAUGACCAGCCACACUGGAACUGAAACACGGUCCAGACUCCUACGGGAGGCAGCAGUGGGGAAUAUUGCACAAUGGGCGCAAGCCUGAUGCAGCCAUGCCGCGUGUAUGAAGAAGGCCUUCGGGUUGUAAAGUACUUUCAGCGGGGAGGCGUUACCCGCAGAAGAAGCACCGGCUAACUCCGUGCCAGCAGCCGCGGUAAUAC